UUUCGCUAGCCCGGUGAGUUUGAAAGCAAAUUGCUUCGAUUCAUGCUUUCAGUACAUGAUCGCUCUAACACAUACAAUAUCUUGUCCUUUAUGCAGCCUCCGUCGGCGGGUUCGAAUAACCCAUCUCAGGCGCAAGCAGGCGACGGUGUUUUUCCUUCACCAGGCACUCAGUUUCAACCCUAGCUCUAGUUUGUUUAUCUUUUUCACCACUUGAUGGACAUGUGAUGGACUGUGAACGACUAUCGACUUGUGAAGAUGGAUAUUGAACCUAUUAUGUUUAUGUCGUCGUGUAUGUGAGAUAUUGUGUGCUUGUGAUGUGAUAUAUAUGUAGAUUUGAGUUUGUGAUGAGAUGGAUGCGAUAUAUAUGUGCUAUAUUGUGUUUGUGAUAUCAGAGAUGUGAUAUAUAUCUAUUAUAUGCUGUGUUUGUGAUUAUAUAAUCAAAAAAUAAAAAUAAAAAAAUAAUUUUAGAGCCUUUGUCGGGUGUCAACGCCAGGACACCCGGCAAAGAAUUAUUUUUAAAAAAGUUGAAAAACUCUUUGCCGGGUGCUAGCCGCCGACAAAGAAAUUCCAAAAAAAAAUGUAAAUUCUUUGCCGGG
rnacentral:lncRNA from 1 species